CACGUAGGGCGCGAGCGUUGUCCGGAAUUAUUGGGCGUAAAGGGCGCGUAGGCGGCUUGGCAAGUGGAUGGUGAAAUCCCUCGGCUUAACCGAGGAACUGCCGUCCAAACUGCUUUGCUUGAGACCGGGAGAGGUGAGUGGAAUUCCCAGUGUAGCGGUGAAAUGCGUAGAUAUUCGGAAGAACACCAGUGGCGAAGGCGGCUCACUGGACUGGUAUUGACGCUGAGGUGCGAAAGCGUGGGGAGCAAACAGG
rnacentral:rRNA from 1 species